GUCAAUAACUCUUCGUGGAACAUGUUUUUUGAAUACCGACAACGUUCGAGAUAGUGGACGAUAAUGGUGCUCAUUGAAAUCAUUGGACUUUCCGUGUUUCUUUCUUUUUCCUUUCGUACUUCCAUCCUGUAACUUUGUCUUUCUCUCUCUCUCUCUCUCUCUCUCUCUCUCUCUCGCUCUCGCUCUCUCUCUCUGUCUCUCUCUACCUCGUCCCGUCUUCUUCGCGUUUUUCUCUUUCCGCGUGCCGUGCACGCUGGCAUACGUCCGUUCACGAACGACAGUCGAAUAUCUAGGCGCAGUAAAGGGGGGCAGACGGUACGAUGUCCACGAGCACGUGUGAACGCAGCCUAACUAUGUGGGCUGUGCACUCGACUGAUAAAACGCUUCAGCGACGUGUCAGUGACCCUCCUCCCUCCCACUCUCUCUUUCUUCUUUAAAUGCGCGUGCGCUCGCUCUCCUCCUCUUUCCUCCCUCUUCUUCUUCCUUCUUCUUCGCUCUUAUCCGACAUCUUCAUGAUGUCUGUCCAAGGCUUGGAAAUAUUACGCUUCGCGUUCGUAUCUGCACGAUUGAAAAAGAAAUUAACUAAAAUCGUUAUAAUCGCAACGAUUCUAACGAUUCUAACGAAUAAAAAUUCUUGAAACAUUAUCGCUACGAAUGUAUCGUUAAAUAAUGGAAAUAUAUAAAGAUGCGUUGCGUUUAUCGAAAGGAUAGAGGAACGAUACCAAAUGCGUUAAAUGUUUGGGGUUGAUUGACUCGAGAUCCGUAAUCAACCGAUUCCAAGAACUCGGACGAUACGAAUUGACCUCAUGUUUGAGAACUACUGCUUGUGUUACAAAGAACAGCGACGAGCCCUCCGAUGCACGUGCAUGCGAGUAACGUCGACCGGAAGUCGAUGGAAAAAAAAAAAGAAAAAAAAAAAAAAACCUAGUUCACCCUCGUCACUCGGCACCAGCUUCUCUUCAUGGGAACCAACCUCCUCUUCUUUCUCUCACACAUCAGCGCGCGCGCACGCACGCACUGCGCCACACGUACGACUCGUUUCAUCUCGAUCUUCCUCAUCUCUUACGCUACGCUAGAAGAGGAUAACUGUUGCUUCUAACCGAAGGCAUAGGCGGAAGUUCCGAGUUUGAGAAGGCUAAAACAGAAACGGGAUUGGAAAUUUCUAAGAAGUUCCUCCUACCAAAAGGCUCAUCGUGAAAAGGUGAAGGCCUUUUCUUUAAGAAACAAGAAAGAGAAAAAUGAAGAAACGAUACACGUUGUCAGGUAAGGCCGACUGGUUGAUCCCUUUAAUUCUGUGGCCUCUAUAACCAUUAAGAACGAAUGGUGGGAGGAGCCGGUCGCAGGUAGUCCGUAAAUCUUCGCCGUCACCUGCAUUUUACCUGCCACCGAAGUACCACCAUAAGACGAGGGUAAACUCGUGCGCUGUAUCGCACUGUUGAGCGCAUACCUUCUUCGACAUUUAAAUUAGUAAUCAAAUAGGUGAUUACGUCGUUAAUAAAUAAACGAUACCAGCAUAGAUCCUACACCUUUCGUAACAUGCACUACAUAAAAAAGAUAAAUAUCAUUUAAAUAUCAUUUUAUCCUACAUGUUUAUCGAAUCAUUUUACAGGAUAACAAUGUAAUAAAAUGCAUAUAAUCGAUAGAAUCAAGUUUUCUAAAAGUAUCAAGAAUUUUUACCGUACAAGAGUUAAACGUGCCAAGAAGGAAGUAUACAAUAAUAGAACGCAAGCGCGCGCGCGCUCACGCGAUCGAGUCCGCUAUGCAUCCUACCAAAUAACAAAGUAUCAAACUAUAAAAUGACAACAUUGUCGACAAAAAACAAUAUUGUCAACAAGAUUGUUAGAGAGACAAAUUUAUAAUAAUCCUCGUGACCUAACGUAAGGACGUGCUUUUUUACGAUUUGAAAACUAUCCUAUACGAAUAAUUGAGACGAAUAUGACCAAUUACGAUGAAUUAUAAGAAAAUCUAAUACAAUUUAACGCUUAAAGUACAAAGUGUUUUCCGAUUGAUGAAUGAAAUCUAGAUACUGCGAUAGUACAAAUAUCGAAACAUUGAAAGAAAAAUGUUCAACUCUCGUGGUUUGAAAAUUACGGGCAAUACGAUCGACGAGAAUACUUGGAUGCGUUGAGAUAAAACGUAGAUAGGUAGGUCGCACUGGCAAAAUUACUGGAUGCUUAAAUUCGGACCCCAUCGUGAGGUCCAAGUACAGAAAAUGUGAGGAGAGGGUUACUAGCGGUGGAACGAGAGGAACGAAGGAGGGGUAUGAGAGAGAGAGAGAGAGAGAGAGAGAGAACGGGAGGAGAGGAGAACUAUCGUCGUGUCUCUUGUCCCGGAUCCGCCGACUCGUAAUAAUAGUUAUCCCGACGGCAAGGAAUGCCAGAGUUGUUGCCCUGUGAGAGAGCGUCGUACGUGUGAAAUACGAGAAGGAACUCCGCGUUCCACAUAAAACGAACGGAAGCAAAUCGAUUUCGAUCGGUUUAUUUUUCGCAGCUAGCAUCUCAUCCUGUUUUAUCCUUUUAUCAAAAACAUAUUAAAUUAAUACGAUGUUGGAUAAGAAACCAAUCAUUCCAUUCGUUCGUCCGCAUUUUAGGAUAGAAUCGAUCAAAAUCAAAGGUAUUAUAGGCUAAACAACAAACGGAGAUUCUUUUCAUCAACUUUGUUAUCAUUUUGAAAUAAAGAUAUUGAUAUUGAUAAACUUUGUGACUGGACGAGCAUAAGCUUUGCUCGUUAUGAGAAGACCUACCACUGCUACUUCCCUUUCCUCUGUCUUUUUCUUUCUCGCAACUCCGACCGAACGGAUUCUUUCAAACGGCAGCAAGAGGAGCCGGAUGCCAUCCAUCGUGUCCGCCAGUUUCCUUUUGCUUAGUUUUUCGUGCUUGGUCGGUCGAAAGAUACGGUAAAAGGCGGGAAUACGAAAGGCAGAGUUCCUCUUUCUUUCUCUCUCUUUCUCUCUCUCUCUCUCUCUCUCUCUCUCUCUCACACACACACACACACGCGCGCGCGCGCUCUUCGUAUUUGGUGGCUAUAGGAACAAUGAGGAAAGAAGAAGAAGAAGAGAGCAAAGUGACGGAAAGACGGAGAGAAGAAGACUAAGAAAGAAAGGAAGAGAGAGAGAGAGAGAGAGAGAGAGAGAGAGAGAGAGAGGCUCUUCGGAAGGGAAAAGAUAAAAGAUCUGACAAGACGCCAAUGAGGCUCCAUUCCUCGCCUCUUUUACAAGCGAUAAAGAAGAAAAAGAGGACCAAGGUCCGUGCUUCCGGUCCGGAUACCGACCGGUUCUUCUCUCUCGCUAAAGCAAAAAGGGAAAAACGAUGAAAUGGGAAAAGAUGCAGACGAUAUUUCUUCUUCCUUCGUUCGAUGAAUAUAUUGCGUUUCAUUGAAUUUGUCAAUAAAAGUAUUCAAUAAAAUGAAGUAGGAUGGAAUAUAAAGAAGAUUCGAUGAAAACGCUCCUGAACAUUUUAAACGUACGAUAUUAAUCAAACGAUACACGUAGCAUUAUGCCGAUAUGCGAUAUAGGGAUGUACGUAAAAAGAAAAGAAAGGAGAAGAAAAAGAAGAAAAAAAAAAAAAAAGAAAAGGAAAAAAAAUUGAAAUAAUCGGAGAUUCCCAAAGCAUGGAUCAUCGAUAGGAUGAGAUCAUAUUUUGAUUCGUUAAAUUUUCCAAGCACACCUAUAAGAAGACUACGCCGGUGAAACAUGUCGUAGACACAAUGCGAAUAUGGCGUUCCUUACCACGCCUUAACUGUCGGAGACACGUCUCGUCUGACGUGUUCAGCCGUUCCUCGAGUCGAGUACCGCGGCGUCGUCAGGCAUACGCUUGGUUAUUUCUUAUAAUUAUAAUAAUAUAGCGCGAACUAGAGACUCGAUUCAAAUGAGGAUAAAUGAUCGGAUUUGGAUCAACGAGGAAAUGAAAAAAUCGAGUCAAAAAAGUCUAUGUCUUUAGGGAUAUCUAUCUAUAAUCGUUCCUAACGAUAUCGCUUUGUUAUCUCGAGUCUUUCACAUUCCUUAACAGUUAGUCUAGACAUCCUCCGUACCGUGAUCGCCGGGGUACUAUCUAAGCGGCAAAACCAUAGAAUAUAAAUAGAAUUAAAUCGAAAGAAUCGAAUCUUUUGACUUUGUACGAAGGUCGUUUCAAAGUCGGCGGUGCGUUGUCACAAUCCUCACAAAGAUCGAUCGAGCCCUUCCCUUCUGGGUCCUACAGAAAUUUCCAUUUCUCUUUCCAAGCCACAGUAUAUACUGCUUCCUCUCUCUUACUUCCGGGUUCGGGGCUCUUCCGGUGAGCUCGACGCAAUAGCGUUGAAAGGGCUCCCCCCUCCUCUCGUCCCACUUCCUUUCUCCGCCGCCUUUCCUCCCGCUCUCCUCGCCGUCGUCAACUACGAGCCGCUUUCUUACCGCGCCGCCUUCUCAGCCAAGCUCACCCUUCGUGCACUUCCCCUUUUGCCACUCCUCUAUCCAUCUCUUUACAUGUACUAUCCUCGCACACGCUCGCUCGUUCGCGCGCGCACACCUACUACCAUACCUUCUCUCCCCACAUUCUAACCAUUCUCUCUUUGCUAUCCAAGUAGCGCUUUUAUCUUACUCGCAAUCGAUCACGAUUGCCGUGCACCAAGAUUUUCCUUCCAGAAAUAGAGAGAAAAAGAUUUUCUAAUCCUAAAGGCAGGCAGGGCUUUCAUGAUAUUGUACGAAGGACGAUCAUGACAUGAACGCGGCCGCAUAAAUUUAGCACCUCGAGAGGUAGGUAAGAGAGGAGAUAGCAACCGAGGAAUCGAAAAAGCGUAUACGUAUUGUCACUCGGAGAAGAAAGGAAAUAAUAAAAUAAUAUAGCGAUCAUCUAGUCGAAACGGUGACGCGAUACGUAUGCCACUAAGAUGUACGUUUUAACGAGCGUAAUCAUUAUUAGCGAUUGCGUUAUGACUUAUGGGUCGAACCAUUACCUACUUACAAUUAAUAACACGAUAAUGAAAUACGAAAAAGAAGGAAAGAAGAGACAGGUAAGAAAAAGUCGAAUAAUAGUGCGAACAAGGUAUUACAUAUAUACACACACCUAUACCAAGGGUGGGAGUAGACAGUAGAGAAGAGCGAGAAAGAAGAGAGUGGGAAAAGAAACGGCGCGACAAGAAGACGGAAGGGAGCGAAGUAAGAAGGAGAAGACGGAAGAGAGAAAAGAGGGGCCGAGGUGCAGGACGGGAGGGAGGGAGUAGUAAUCCGAUGGUAGUAGGAGAGACUGGAAACGGAAGGAGGACGUCGGAGCGAGAGGAACGGUAGAGGCAAUCGAAGAGACGUGGAAAGGGAAGAGAGAAGAGUGGGAAGGAGAGGAAAGGGAAGGGGAAGAAAGGGAAGGAAUGGGGAGCGAGGAAAGGAGAGAAGAGAAGAGACGACCUUUUCAAUGUAAUCACAUCGAGCUUGUCUCAGAAGCGUCGGCAACCAGGAAGCAAAACAGAAAUAGGUGACCGCAGCGUGCAGUAUGGUGACGGAGACGAAUUCCUACAGAAAAUGGAGCUAUUAUUUUCUUCUACUCUGUAAUCUUAUGUAUCUUGUUCAAAUAUAAACAUUGCACUUGCGCAUGUAUAUACAUAUACAUACACAUAUAUGUGUAUAUAUAUAUAUAUAUAUAUACACGCAUGUGUGUGCACAUAUACCAUGCA